rnacentral:lncRNA from 1 species
AUGUCUCCUGGGAGCCGGGGCCUGGAGUUCUAUUCUACUGUGACUGAGCUUGUACCCAGGCCACAAGAUGAUAUCCCACUCUUCCCUCCCCUUUCUACAAGUAGAGGAGUCUCUUCUCAUAGCCACCAUUGUCCCAGGCAAGCACUGAUUUCCACUGCAAAGUCCCACAAUCACUAUGCUGUUCCUGCCUCAAGUGCACAGAUUAUCUCUCCAUGCCUCAUGGCUGGAGCUGGAGAAUGGGAGAUGAAUGGCAUAGCCAACACAAGACUGUCUUUUCAACUGUCUUCAGUGUCUCUUUCAGUGAUAUGAAGUUAAAAUCAGAUCUGAAUUUCUGACCUAUAUAAUUUUCUUCUGUCAGAAGAGCUUCUUUUAAAAUUUCUUGCAAGGUAAGUCUACUGGUAACAAAUUCUCUCAAUUUUUGUUUGGGAAUGUCUUUGAGUCUGUAUUUGUCUUUCUUUCUUUUUUCUUUUUUUGGACUUAAAAUCCAAGUAUAAAUGUUCUUCAGUCAUUUAGUAAAUUUCAAAGCCAAGUCACUAAAGACAGAGGCUAGCAAUUUUCUUUCAUCAUUCACCAAUAACAGACUAUGUGUGGGGACAGUGGCCUUCAUCAGCAGGUACCCUUUUUUGGUGAAUGAAUCUGAUCAUUCAGAUGUGGAGAGAAUGAAGUGUCUUCUUUGGUUUCAGACCCGGAAUGCUCUUGAUCUCCCUUUUGGGGUUCUGUGUCUCCCAUCAGUUCUUGCAGAAACUUGAAUUUAGAUUUUAAAAAGAUGCCAUACAAAAUACAGUGGAUGCCCCCCUCAUCACACACCAUCAGCAGCAGGACAAUCAACAGUGUGGCCAUGAACAUAGCAGGUUAGCCCAAUAUUGUGCUAUCUUGAGGGGAGGAGGGUAGUUGACUUAGGGCACCUGGCAUGUACUGUGGAGGGAAUGGGUGAGUAGGCAGAUGGUAUGUCCCAGGCUUCAGUGGUGGGUGCCUGGCAUGGCAGGGACCUCUUGUCCUUCACUUUAAAAAAAAAAGAUUAAAAAAUAUAUACAUAGAUGUACAUAUUUUGGGGAUAUAUGUGAUAAUUUAAUACAUUCAUACAAUUUGUAAUGAUCAAAUAAGUCUAAUUAAGACAUUUGUAAUCCUAAAUAUUUAUAUUUUCUUAUGCUAGAAACAUUUAUUCUCUUCUAGCAAUUUUUUAAAAACAUUAAACAUGUUUUUAUAGAUGGUGUCUCACUCUGUCACCCAGGUUAGAGUGCAAUGGUGUAACACAUCUCACUGCAGUCUCAAACUCCCAGGUUCAAGUGAUCCUCCCAUCUAGCCUCCUGAGUAGCUGAGACUACAGGUGCAUACCACCAUGCCGGGCUACUUUUUACAAUUUUUUUUUUUUGUAGACACAGAGUUUCACUAUGUUUCCCAGGCUGGUCUCAAACUCCCAGGCUCAAGCAAUCCUUCUGCCUUGGCCUCCCAAAAUGUUGGGAUUACAGACGUGAGCCACCACACCUGGCCUUUUCUAGCUAUUUUGAAAUAUACAAUAGAUUAUUGUAAACUAUAGUCACCAUAAUUAUCUAUUAAACAUUGGGUCUUAUUUCACCUAUCAAAGUGUGUAUUUGUACCUAUUGAUCAACCUCUCUCUGUGCCCCCUCUCUCCUUCCCAGGCUCUGGUAACUACCAAUCUAUUCUCUAUCUUCAUGAAAUACACUUUUUAAGCUCCCACAUAUGAGUGAGGGCAUGCGAUGUUUGUCUGGUUCUGAUGCUUAUUCUAUUUCCUCAAACUGUGUUUUUGCCUUUUAGUAUGGCUUGUCAUGUUUGUUUGUUUGUUUGUUUGUUUUUUGAAACCCAGAUCUCAUGUCUUGCAUGUUGGGUUCAGGCAACUUGUCUUUUUAGUUUGUACGUCUCUGGAUCAAGUAAAUCAUAACCAAAUCUGAUGUGGAGACAAAUUAUCCUUCAUGGACUUUGAGUUGGAUAUGGUUGUUUUUCUCCACUUAGUAGAUGGUGUGUAUAUUUUGUCAGAAUAUUUGGUGAUCCAGAAGGGUGGACUGUGGUGUUAGUAGGUCUGUCCACAGAUUAUUUUUAUCUCUCUGUCAACCAGACACUUGGUAAGUUGUACCUCCUUCAUCACUUGUGAUUGGUGGGGCCACAUUACCAGUUUCAUUUUAUUUUUUACUUUUUUUUUUUUUUUUGACAGAGUCUCACUUUGUCGCCCAGGCUGGAGUACAGUGACAGGAUCUCAGUUCACUGCAACAUCUGCCUCCCAGGUUCAAGCAAUUCUUGUGCCUCAGCCUCCCAAGUAGCUAGGAUUACAGAUGUACACCAGCACACCCGGCUAAUUUUUGUAUUUUUAAUAGAGAUCAGGUUUCACCAUGUUGGCCGGGCUUGCCUCGAACUCCUUACCUUAGGUGAUCUGCCUGCCUCAGCCUCCCAAAGUGCUGAAAUUACAGCAGUGAGCCACUGUGCCUGGCCACAUGACCAGUUUUAGACAAUGAGUUUUGAGAACUUACAAUAUGUAUAACUUUAGGGCUGAACUUUUGCUUGAUGAGAUGAGACCUUCUAGAAUUCUUUUUUUCUGUCUCCCAUAAUAACUAGCUAUGUUUUUUCAGCUGAUUGCUAAAUGAAUGCAUGUGGAGCAAUGUCCCAGCUGACCUGAAAUGAACAUGUGGUUUCAGUGAGAAAUACACCUCUGUCGUUUAAGCCAUCAUUGUCUGUGAGUUACUUGUUAUCUUAGCAUAAUACAGCCUAACCUGACUGUUAACACAGCUUAACCUUACAUCUUCUUUAGGUCUUGACUUACCUGUAGUGUUUUCCUCAAGGCCUUAAGAUUGCACCCAUACCCACCCCAUCACUCUAUCCCCUUCUCUACUUUAUAUUCCUCUACAACACCUAUCUUAAUAUAACAUCACGUAGUUUGCUCAUUUAUUUUAUUAUUCAUCUCCUCCUGCCACCAGAAUGUAAGCCCAUGAAGGCAGCGAUGGUCUGAGUUUGAGUUCCACUGAAAGCUGAUCCUUGAGACAGGGGAUAUGGGGUUGGCUCUUCAUUUGGGAGAUGAUCCUGAAGGGUAUAGAAAGGGAACUGGGGGAAAAAACCAUAGAAAGUAAAAUCAAUAAAGGAGGCAUUAGUAAACUUAUUAGUGCUGUGGACAAUUCUUUGGAGAUCCUCUGAGAAGCCCUGUUGAGCUGAAAUUCUCAUACAUUUCCUACCUAGAGAUAGAAAAACUGGAGUAUUGUCCCCAACUCCUGCCCACUGUUGAAUGUAGGGAGGCUUAAAUCUCUGGUACAUUCAGACUGACUUGUGCAUGGGCUGAGCAAGCUUGCCCCAUGCAGAGAAAGCCUUCUGGCCAAGAAGCAGAGAGGUAGACACAGUUCCUGUGCAUAGGAACUGUCCAACACAGUUGCAGGUGUGUCAAGGGGACAUGCAGUGGGGGCAUCAACAGAAUCUACCAUAGAGAUUUUCGCUUUUUAUUUCCUGAUGUGGCCCCAGCUCCUAAAUACUGUUUGACAAUUUCUAAAUAGUGAACGAAUGAGUGAAUGAGUACCCUAUAGUGGGCGUUCACUGGAUGUGUCCCCAGCAUCCAUUUCCCUUUUGGAAUUAGCCCUUUCCCUUUUUUCCCUUGGGAUGCCACCUCUCCCCAUUUCUCAGCCUGCAGCUUUGGUUGGGAUUGAACCGACAUCUAGUUACUGGGUGUGGACUACCUCCCCAUCCCCUACUCCAAAGACUUGAUAUAAUCAACCUUUCUUACUCACCUCCCCCUCGCCACCACAGUGAUCUGUUUAGGAAUGGACACAUGACCCAUUUGCGACCAAUGAAAGUGAAUUUCAGGGUUUAUUCUCUCUUUCUCUGUAAGGAUGUGAGGUCUAGAAAAGCUGCAGCCAUUUUGCCACCAUGGGAAACCUGGGACAUCUGAACUGACUCCAUGAAGCCCAAAGAGAAAGCUAAUAAGAAGGCAGAGAGAAGAGGAAAAGAGUCUUGGUCUUUGAAAAUAUCUUUUGGAGCUGCUGGAUCAAGUCUCACUUGAAG